rnacentral:rRNA from 1 species
UACGUAGGGUGCAAGCGUUGUCCGGAAUUAUUGGGCGUAAAGAGCUCGUAGGCGGUCUGUCGCGUCGGCUGUGAAAACCCGGAGCUCAACUCCGGGCCUGCAGUCGAUACGGGCAGACUGGAGUUCGGCAGGGGAGACUGGAAUUCCUGGUGUAGCGGUGAAAUGCGCAGAUAUCAGGAGGAACACCGGUGGCGAAGGCGGGUCGCUGGGCCGAUACUGACGCUGAGGAGCGAAAGCGUGGGGAGCGAACAGG